rnacentral:rRNA from 1 species
AGGGAGUUUGAUCCUGGCUCAGGACGAACGCUGGCGGCGUGCUUAACACAUGCAAGUCGAACGAGGUGAUUGAAAGCUUGCUUUUGAGAACCGAGUGGCAAACGGGUGAGUAACGCGUAGACAACCUGCCGCAAAGAUGGGGACAACAGUCCGAAAGGACUGCUAAUACCGAAUGUUGUGCAACUUCCGCAUGGGAGAUGCAUUAAAGAUGGCCUCUACUUGUAAGCUAUCGCUUUGCGAUGGGUCUGCGUCUGAUUAGCUAGUUGGUGGGGUAACGGCCUACCAAGGCGACGAUCAGUAGCCGGUCUGAGAGGAUGAACGGCCACAUUGGAACUGAGACACGGUCCAGACUCCUACGGGAGGCAGCAGUGGGGAAUCUUCCGCAAUGGGCGAAAGCCUGACGGAGCAACGCCGCGUGAGUGAAGAAGGUCUUCGGAUCGUAAAGCUCUGUUGUCGGGGACGAACGUACCUUUUGUGAAUAAUGAGAGGUAAUGACGGUACCUGACGAGGAAGCCACGGCUAACUACGUGCCAGCAGCCGCGGUAAUACGUAGGUGGCGAGCGUUGUCCGGAAUUAUUGGGCGUAAAGGGAGCGCAGGCGGGAAGGCAAGUCAGUCUUAAAAGUGCGGGGCUCAACCCCGUGAUGGGAUUGAAACUGUCUUUCUUGAGUGCAGGAGAGGAAAGCGGAAUUCCUAGUGUAGCGGUGAAAUGCGUAGAUAUUAGGAGGAACACCAGUGGCGAAGGCGGCUUUCUGGACUGUAACUGACGCUGAGGCUCGAAAGCGUGGGGAGCGAACAGGAUUAGAUACCCUGGUAGUCCCCU